AUUGAACGCUGGCGGAAGGCCUAACACAUGCAAGUCGAACGAGUGGCGGACGGGUGAGUAAUGUCUGGGAAACUGCAUGAUGGAGGGGGAUAACUACUGGAAACGGUAGCUAAUACCGCAUAACAUCGGAGUUGCCCAGAUGGGAUUAGCUAGUAGGUGGGGUAAAUGCUAACCUAGGCGACGAUCCCUCGCUGUGCUGAGAGGAUGACCAGCCACACUGGAACUACGACACGGUCCCGACUCCUACGGGGGGCAGCAGUGGGGCAUAUUGCACAAUGGGCGCAAGCCUGAUGCAGCCAUGCCGCGUGUAUGAAGAAGGCCUUCGGGUUGUAAAGUACUUUCAGCGGGGAGGCGUUACCCGCAGAAGAAGCACCGGCUAACUCCGUGCCAGCAGCCGCGGUAAUUC
rnacentral:rRNA from 1 species